GAGUUUGAUCCUGGCUCAGGAUAAACGCUGGCGGCGCACAUAAGACAUGCAAGUCGAACGAACUUAAUUUUAAUAUUUAUAUUAAAAAGCGGUUAGUGGCGGACUGGUGAGUAACGCGUAAGCAAUCUGCCUAUCAGAGGGGAAUAACAGUGAGAAAUCAUUGCUAAUACCGCAUAUGCCAUAAGAAUCACAUGAUUCUAGUGGGAAAGGAGCAAUCCACUGAUAGAUGAGCUUGCGUCUGAUUAGCUAGUUGGUGGGGUAACGGCCUACCAAGGCGACGAUCAGUAGCCGGACUGAGAGGUUGAACGGCCACAUUGGGACUGAGAUACGGCCCAGACUCCUACGGGAGGCAGCAGUCGGGAAUAUUGCGCAAUGGAGGAAACUCUGACGCAGUGACGCCGCGUAUAGGAAGAAGGUUUUCGGAUUGUAAACUAUUGUCGUUAGGGAAGAUAAAAGACAGUACCUAAGGAGGAAGCUCCGGCUAACUACGUGCCAGCCGCCGCGGUAAUUC
rnacentral:rRNA from 1 species